CUUGAAUUUACUCUCUACUGUGCCAGCAAUUACAUUGGUGCAGAUAUUUUUUUUCAUUAUCUUGUAUCCUAUUGGAAUAACGGGUGAGCUUAUUUCCUGUUACUGUGCUCUACCCUACUACAGCACAACUCAGGAAAUUUCAGUUUUACUACCAAAUAAGUGGAAUUUAACAUUCAACUUCUGAUUGUACACAGUGCUACAGGCUUCAUUCCCAACAAUGUUGGAAUUACUUUCGCUCAAGU